rnacentral:rRNA from 1 species
AUGAGGCUGCAUGGGGAUGUGUCGGAUGACGAAGAGGAGGGUGCGGUGAUGGAUCCGGCACUGCUGUCGUCGUCGUCGCCGCCCGCCGGUGCGGCGGCGGCGGCUGCGUCGAGGCUGGUGGUGGGCUACGCCCUCACGAAGAAGAAGGUUAAGAGCUUCCUCCAGCCCAAGCUGCUCUUGCUGGCGAGGAAGAAAGGAAUUAGUUUCAUACCAAUUGAUGAGACUCGUCCUCUCUCCGAACAAGGCCCAUUUGAUAUUAUCUUGCACAAGAAAACUAGCAAGGAGUGGCAGCGGUUUCUGGAGGAUUAUCAUGAAGUGCAUCCAGAAGUCACUGUCCUCGACCCACCCAAUGCCAUUGAGCAUCUGAACAAUCGACAAUCGAUGCUUGAAGAAGUAGCAGAUUUGAACCUGUCCAGUUUCUAUGAAGAAGUUUGCACUCCACGCCAACUGGUCAUUAUGAAAGAUCCGUCCUCUAUACCAACUGCAGUUGCCAUGGCUGGGCUAACCUUGCCAUUGGUUGCCAAGCCAUUGGUUGUUGAUGGAACAUCUAAAUCUCAUGAGCUAUCUCUGGCAUACGAUGAGGCGUCCUUGCCAAUGCUUGAUCCUCCUCUGGUACUCCAGGAAUUUGUGAAUCAUGGUGGGAUCCUCUUUAAGGUGUACAUCAUUGGUGAAGCUAUACAGGUUGUCCGCAGGUUUUCUCUUCCUGAUGUUAAUACCUAUGACUUACUAAACAAUGUUGGCAUCUAUCGACUUCCAAGAGUUUCAUGCGCUGCAGCAAGUGCAGAUCAUGCAGACCUUGAUCCUCGUAUUGCAGAGCUUCCUCCGAGACCACUUCUAGAGAAACUAGGCAGGGAGCUUCGUGGUCGUCUGGGUCUAAGAUUGUUCAACAUAGAUAUGAUUAGAGAGCUUGGAGCAAAUGACCGGUACUAUAUAAUUGAUAUCAACUACUUCCCAGCUGAGGGGAAAAUAAAUGUAUCGUCGCGACAUAUCUCUGCCCGUGUAGGCCAAUUUAACAUUGUUCAAGUAGGGGUAUCUUCUCCACUACCCAAGGUUGGCUUGGCUGGGGGAUGA